CAACAAUAUCACGUUGAAACAUCGUUUCUUGUACGAUCACCGAAGUUAAGCAACGUCGAGCAUGGUCAGUACCUAGUUGGGUGACAGACUGGGAAUACCAGGUUCUGCAA